rnacentral:lncRNA from 1 species
CUGCACAAUGUGCACAUGUACCCUAAAACUUAAAGUAUAAUAAAAAAAAGAUAUUUUAAAUAUAUAGUUUGUAUCAUUGAUCCCACUUUGUUACAGGUAAUUUAUUCUAUUAUUUUAAUGGACAAAAAUGGCAUAUUUUCAUUGCAGUUGUAGAAGUACAUGAUCUUGCUUUCUUAAAGGAUCCUACAGGACAUUCAAUCAUCACGUCUCCUUAGGCCCCUCUCAACUGUGGCAGUUUCUCAGACUUCGUUGUUUUUGCUCUUUCUCUUUCACGUGGGGAGAGUGUGGAACGGCUCAGUUUCUCCAGCAAGGAAUCCUCCUGUCCUGUCUAAAAGGCAACCUGCAUCCUAGGAGCAAAGAGAGGGAAAAGCACUGAGGAGUACGGCCAUGCCAUAGGCAGAUUUGCAAUUAAUUCUCUCGCUUGCAGCCCUAUGACUAAUUCUGGGCCAGGCCGUGCAUAUUGUCUCCAAAUCCUGAGGCUCUUGCCUCCCAUUCUCCAAAGAAUAAUCAGCCUCCUGCCUGGGGGGGUGAUUACACAGCUGCUAGGGUUCUAUGCCUGAGCCGUAAGUGAGGUACACAGACUGUUUCCCAUGUUAACAUAUUCUUCAGUUUAUUCCCACACUCUCUGCUGUACUGGAUUCCUCAGUUUCGGAGCUUCUCCAGGAGUCUACAGGACUAACUUAUUGUCUCCUUGUUAGUACCAACUUCUUGCUUGUCCUUUAAGAUAUGAUAUCCUCAAUCUGGUUAUAUCAGACACCUUUCCUACAUUCCUUUCCUGUCUUUUGAAAUAUGAUUGAAAUAUUUCAUCAAUUAAUGUCUUCUCUCCUAUUCUCUUUGUACUUGCAAGCUUAAGCCUCUUUUAUCUUUUCAAAUAUUUUAGCAGGCUCUCUGAAAGGAGAGGCUAUAAACUUCUAUGUCUAUUCUUCUAUCUUUAAAUUCAACAAGAGGCAGAACACUUUCAUGGUUAAGUUAGGCCUGCAUUUAAAUCCUGCCUCUGUCACAUACUUUUCUAAGACUUAGAAAUUUGCUAACCUCUGGAAACCUUGACCUCCUUUCUGUAAAAUGAGAACCUACCUCAUUGGGUUGUUGUGAGGAUCAAAUAAAAUAUGUAUGGUUGGCACGUA